UACGUAGGCAGCAAGCGUUGUUCGGAAUUACUGGGCGUAAAGGGUUCGUAGGUGGCUCACUAAGUCACACGUGAAAUCCCUCAGCUUAACUGGGGAACUGCGUGUGAAACUGGAGAGCUUGAGGGUAGGAGAGGAAUGCGGAAUUCCAGGUGUAGCGGUGAAAUGCGUAGAUAUCUGGAGGAACACCGGUGGCGAAGGCGGCAUUCUGGACUAUUUCUGACACUGAUGAACGAAAGCCAGGGGAGCAAACGGG
rnacentral:rRNA from 1 species